rnacentral:rRNA from 1 species
UUCCGGUUGAUCCUGCCGGACCCGACUGCUAUCAGAGUGGGACUAAGCCAUGCGAGUCGACGUAGCAAUGCGUGGCGAACGGCUCAGUAACACGUAGUCAACAUGCCCAGGGGACGUGGAUAACCUCGGGAAACUGAGAAUAAACCACGAUAGGUCACGAUUUCUGGAAUGGAUCAUGGCAUAAAUCUACAUGGCCCCUGGAUUGGACUGCGGCCGAUCAGGCAGUUGGUGAGGUAAUGGCCCACCAAACCUAUAACCGGUACGGGCUCUGAGAGGAGAAGCCCGGAGAUGGGCACUGAGACAAGGGCCCAGGCCCUAUGGGGCGCAGCAGGCGCGAAACCUCUGCAAUAGGCGAAAGCCUGACAGGGUUACUCUGAGUGAUUUCCGCUAAGGGGAUCUUUUGGCACCUCUAAAAAUGGUGCGGAAUAAGGGGUGGGCAAGUCUGGUGUCAGCCGCCGCGGUAAUACCAGCACCCCGAGUGGUCGGGACGAUUAUUGGGCCUAAAGCAUCCGUAGCCGGUUCUGCAAGUCUUCCGUUAAAUCCAGCCGCUCAACGGAUGGGCCGCGGAGGAUACUAUAGGACUAGGAGGCGGGAGAGGCAAGCGGUACUCAGUGGGUAGGGGUAAAAUCCUUUGAUCCAUUGAAGACCACCAGUGGCGAAGGCGGCUUGCCAGAACGCGCUCGACGGUGAGGGAUGAAAGCUGGGGGAGCAAACCGGAUUAGAUACCCGGGUAGUCCCAG